GUGGGGAAUCUUGGACAAUGGGCGCAAGCCUGAUCCAGCCAUGCCGCGUGAGUGAAGAAGGCCUUCGGGUUGUAAAGCUCUUUUGUCAGGGACGAUAAUGACGGUACCUGAAGAAUAAGCCCCGGCAAACUUCGUGCCAGCAGCCGCGGUAAUACGAAGGGGGCUAGCGUUGUUCGGAAUUACUGGGCGUAAAGCGCACGUAGGCUGACAUUUAAGUCAGGGGUGAAAUCCCGAGGCUCAACCUCGGAACUGCCCUUGAUACUGGGUGUCUCGAGUCCGGAAGAGGUUAGUGGAAUUCCCAGUGUAGAGGUGAAAUUCGUAGAUAUUGGGAAGAACACCAGUGGCGAAGGCGGCUAACUGGUCCGGUACUGACGCUGAGGUGCGAAAGCGUGGGGAGCAAACAGGAUUAGAAACCCUUGUAGUCC
rnacentral:rRNA from 1 species